rnacentral:misc_RNA from 1 species
GGAGAACUCCCGUCUCUCUCCUAGGGUUUCGUGGAGGAGGCACAGUUCUUCAAUGGAUCGGGAAGCGAUGGAUCAGUGGAGGCAUCAAAUCGAAAGCUGGGUCCGGCAACAGCCGCCGGAGCAGAUCUAUCUCGCGGCGGCGCUCAUCGUCCUGACCUCGCUCUUCUUUAUCCUCCUCCGUUGUUUGAGACGCUCCAAGUCCAAUACUAUUGUUAUUGCCGGGUUAAGUGGCAGUGGGAAAACGG